rnacentral:rRNA from 1 species
GUGUGUUAGUGGAAGCGUCUGGAAAGGCGCGCGAUACAGGGUGACAGCCCCGUACACAAAAAUGCACAUGCUGUGAGCUCGAUGAGUAGGGCGGGACACGUGGUAUCCUGUCUGAAUAUGGGGGGACCAUCCUCCAAGGCUAAAUACUCCUGACUGACCGAUAGUGAACCAGUACCGUGAGGGAAAGGCGAAAAGAACCCCGGCGAGGGGAGUGAAAAAGAACCUGAAACCGUGUACGUACAAGCAGUGGGAGCACAGAGCAAUCUGUGUGACUGCGUACCUUUUGUAUAAUGGGUCAGCGACUUAUAUUCUGUAGCAAGGUUAACCGAAUAGGGGAGCCGAAGGGAAACCGAGUCUUAACUGGGCGUUAAGUUGCAGGGUAUAGACCCGAAACCCGGUGAUCUAGCCAUGGGCAGGUUGAAGGUUGGGUAACACUAACUGGAGGACCGAACCGACUAAUGUUGAAAAAUUAGCGGAUGACUUGUGGCUGGGGGUGAAAGGCCAAUCAAACCGGGAGAUAGCUGGUUCUCCCCGAAAGCUAUUUAGGUAGCGCCUCGUGAAUUCAUCUCCGGGGGUAGAGCACUGUUUCGGCAAGGGGGUCAUCCCGACUUACCAACCCGAUGCAAACUGCGAAUACCGGAGAAUGUUAUCACGGGAGACACACGGCGGGUGCUAACGUCCGUCGUGAAGAGGGAAACAACCCAGACCGCCAGCUAAGGUCCCAAAGUCAUGGUUAAGUGGGAAACGAUGUGGGAAGGCCCAGACAGCCAGGAUGUUGGCUUAGAAGCAGCCAUCAUUUAAAGAAAGCGUAAUAGCUCACUGGUCGAGUCGGCCUGCGCGGAAGAUGUAACGGGGCUAAACCAUGCACCGAAGCUGCGGCAGCGACGCUGAUGCGUUGUUGGGUAGGGGAGCGUUCUGUAAGCCUGUGAAGGUGUGCUGUGAGGCAUGCUGGAGGUAUCAGAAGUGCGAAUGCUGACAUAAGUAACGAUAAAGCGGGUGAAAAGCCCGCUCGCCGGAAGACCAAGGGUUCCUGUCCAACGUUAAUCGGGGCAGGGUGAGUCGACCCCUAAGGCGAGGCCGAAAGGCGUAGUCGAUGGGAAACAGGUUAAUAUUCCUGUACUUGGUGUUACUGCGAAGGGGGGACGGAGAAGGCUAUGUUGGCCGGGCGACGGUUGUCCCGGUUUAAGCGUGUAGGCUGGUUUUCCAGGCAAAUCCGGAAAACUAAGGCUGAGGCGUGAUGACGAGGCACUACGGUGCUGAAGCAACAAAUGCCCUGCUUCCAGGAAAAGCCUCUAAGCAUCAGGUAACAUCAAAUCGUACCCCAAACCGACACAGGUGGUCAGGUAGAGAAUACCAAGGCGCUUGAGAGAACUCGGGUGAAGGAACUAGGCAAAAUGGUGCCGUAACUUCGGGAGAAGGCACGCUGAUAUGUAGGUGAAGUCCCUCGCGGAUGGAGCUGAAAUCAGUCGAAGAUACCAGCUGGCUGCAACUGUUUAUUAAAAACACAGCACUGUGCAAACACGAAAGUGGACGUAUACGGUGUGACGCCUGCCCGGUGCCGGAAGGUUAAUUGAUGGGGUCAGCGCAAGCGAAGCUCUUGAUCGAAGCCCCGGUAAACGGCGGCCGUAACUAUAACGGUCCUAAGGUAGCGAAAUUCCUUGUCGGGUAAGUUCCGACCUGCACGAAUGGCGUAAUGAUGGCCAGGCUGUCUCCACCCGAGACUCAGUGAAAUUGAACUCGCUGUGAAGAUGCAGUGUACCCGCGGCAAGACGGAAAGACCCCGUGAACCUUUACUAUAGCUUGACACUGAACAUUGAGCCUUGAUGUGUAGGAUAGGUGGGAGGCUUUGAAGUGUGGACGCCAGUCUGCAUGGAGCCGACCUUGAAAUACCACCCUUUAAUGUUUGAUGUUCUAACGUUGACCCGUAAUCCGGGUUGCGGACAGUGUCUGGUGGGUAGUUUGACUGGGGCGGUCUCCUCCUAAAGAGUAACGGAGGAGCACGAAGGUUGGCUAAUCCUGGUCGGACAUCAGGAGGUUAGUGCAAUGGCAUAAGCCAGCUUGACUGCGAGCGUGACGGCGCGAGCAGGUGCGAAAGCAGGUCAUAGUGAUCCGGUGGUUCUGAAUGGAAGGGCCAUCGCUCAACGGAUAAAAGGUACUCCGGGGAUAACAGGCUGAUACCGCCCAAGAGUUCAUAUCGACGGCGGUGUUUGGCACCUCGAUGUCGGCUCAUCACAUCCUGGGGCUGAAGUAGGUCCCAAGGGUAUGGCUGUUCGCCAUUUAAAGUGGUACGCGAGCUGGGUUUAGAACGUCGUGAGACAGUUCGGUCCCUAUCUGCCGUGGGCGCUGGAGAACUGAGGGGGGCUGCUCCUAGUACGAGAGGACCGGAGUGGACGCAUCACUGGUGUUCGGGUUGUCAUGCCAAUGGCACUGCCCGGUAGCUAAAUGCGGAAGAGAUAAGUGCUGAAAGCAUCUAAGCACGAAACUUGCCCCGAGAUGAGUUCUCCCUGACUCCUUGA